rnacentral:rRNA from 1 species
GGACUACCGGGGUAUCUAAUCCCGUUUGCUCCCCUAGCUUUCGCGCCUCAGCGUCAGAAGAGGGCCAGCACGUCGCUUUCGCCACCGGCGUUCCUUCCGAUAUCAACGCAUUUCACCGCUCCACCGGAAGUUCCACAUGCCCCUACCUCCCUCGAGUUCACCAGUAUCCAAGGCACUUUUCCGGUUGAGCCGAAAGAUUUCACCCCGGACUUGGUAAACCGCCUACGCGCCCUUUAAGCCCAGUGAAUCCGAAUAACGUUAGGACGGUUCGUCUUACCGCGGCUGCUGGCAC